AAUCAACGCUGGCGGCGUGCCUCAGACAUGCAAGUCGAACGAUUAAAGCUCUCUUCGGAGAGUGUAUAGAGUGGCGCACGGGUGAGUAACACGUAAGUAAUCUACCUUUGAGUGGGGAAUAACCCGGGGAAACCCGAGCUAAUACCGCAUAAUGCAGCGGCAUCGCAAGAUGACAGUUGUUAAAGGAGCAAUCCGCUUAAAGAGGAGCUUGCGGCAGAUAGCUAGUUGGUAAGGUAAUGGCUUACCAAGGCUACGAUCUGUAUCCGGUCUAAGAGGACGGUCGGACACACUGACACUGAAUAACGGGUCAGACUCCUACGGGAGGCAGCAGUCGGGAAUUUUGGGCAAUGGGCGAAAGCCUGACCAGCAACGCCGCGUGAAGGAUGAAAUCCCUCGGGAU
rnacentral:rRNA from 1 species